AAAUUGAAGAGUUUGAUCAUGGCUCAGAUUGAACGCUGGCGGCAGGCCUAACACAUGCAAGUCGAACGGUAACAGGAAGAAGCUUGCUUCUUUGCUGACGAGUGGCGGACGGGUGAGUAAUGUCUGGGAAACUGCCUGAUGGAGGGGGAUAACUACUGGAAACGGUAGCUAAUACCGCAUAACGUCGCAAGACCAAAGAGGGGGACCUUCGGGCCUCUUGCCAUCGGAUGUGCCCAGAUGGGAUUAGCUAGUAGGUGGGGUAACGGCUCACCUAGGCGACGAUCCCUAGCUGGUCUGAGAGGAUGACCAGCCACACUGGAACUGAGACACGGUCCAGACUCCUACGGGAGGCAGCAGUGGGGAAUAUUGCACAAUGG
rnacentral:rRNA from 1 species